rnacentral:rRNA from 1 species
CCUACGGUGGCUGCAGUGGGGAAUAUUGCACAAUGGGGGGAACCCUGAUGCAGCGACGCCGCGUGAGUGAAGAAGUAUUUCGGUAUGUAAAGCUCUAUCAGCAGGGAAGAAAAUGACGGUACCUGACUAAGAAGCCCCGGCUAACUACGUGCCAGCAGCCGCGGUAAUACGUGGGGGGCAAGCGUUAUCCGGAUUUACUGGGUGUAAAGGGAGCGCAGACGGCUGUGCAAGUCUGGAGUGAAAGGCGGGGGCCCAACCCCCGGACUGCUCUGGAAAAUGUAAAGCUGGAGUGCAGGAGAGGUAAGCGGAAUUCCUAGUGUAGCGGUGAAAUGCGUAGAUAUUAGGAGGAACACCAGUGGCGAAGGCGGCUUACUGGACUGCAACUGACGUUGAGGCUCGAAAGCGUGGGGAGCAAACAGGAUUAGAUACCCCUGUAGUC